CUUUAUUGGAGAGUUUGAUCCUGGCUCAGGACGAACGCUGGCGGCAUGCCUAAUACAUGCAAGUCGAGCGGACUUGAUGAGAAGCUUGCUUCUCUGAUAGUUAGCGGCGGACGGGUGAGUAACACGUAGGCAACCUGCCCUCAAGUUUGGGACAACUACCGGAAACGGUAGCUAAUA
rnacentral:rRNA from 1 species